rnacentral:tRNA from 5 species
GCGCGGGUGGCGAAAUUUGGUACACGCACUACCUUGAGGUGGUAGCGCCCGCAAGGGCUUGGGGGUUCAAGUCCCCCCCCGCGCA